GAUGAAGAACGUAGCGAAAUGCGAUAAGUAAUGUGAAUUGCAGAAUUCAGUGAAUCAUCGAAUCUUUGAACGCACCUUGCGCCCUUUGGCUAUUCCGAAGGGCAUGCCUGUUUGAGUAUCAUGAACACCUCAACCCUCAUGGUUUGCCAUGUGGGCUUGGACCUUGGGGGUCUUGCUGGAUUGUAGUCAGCUCCCCUUAAAUGAAUCAGCUUGCCAGUGUCUGGUGGCAUCACAGGUGUGAUAAUUAUCUACGCUUGUGGUUUUACAUCAGGUAACCUUCAGAGAUGGGGGUUCACUGGGGCUUACAAAAGGUCUCUCCUCAGUGAGGACAGCUCUUUGAAUGUUUGAUCUCAAAUCAGGUAGGACUACCCGCUGAACUUAAGCAUAUCAAUAAGCGGAGGA
rnacentral:misc_RNA from 1 species